AAUGAACGCUGGCGGCGUGCCUAAUACAUGCAAGUCGAACGAGAAAGGGGCUUCCGUUCCGCGCAAAGUGGCGCACGGGUGAGUAACAUGUCGGUAACCUGCCCCUCAGAUUGGGCUGACUUGACGACAGAAGAGCUAAUCUCGUACAAGAUAACAGUUUCAGCGGCAACAGGGGACAAUGGUAGCCUCUGUUUGUAAGCCAUCUCUUAGAGUCGGGCCCGCGCACCAUUAGCUAGAUGGUAGGGUAACGGCCUUCCAAAGCAAAGAUGGUUAACUGGACUGGGGGGGUGAUCAGCCACACUGGGACUGGGGCACGGGCCAGGCUCCUACGGGAGGCAGCAGGGAGGGAUAUUUCGCAAUGGGCGGAAGCUUGACGGGGCAACGGCGCGUGGAGGGAGGAGGCCUUCGGGUCGGAAAGCUCUGGCGAGUAGGAAGGAUGCUCCGGGGGAGAACAGCCGCGGGUGGUGACGGUACCUUCAAAGAAAGCACCGGCUAACUCUGUG
rnacentral:rRNA from 1 species